CUCAACAGUGGUCAGGCCCAAAUGGGAGGGAUCCACAGCCCCAUAGGAUUUGGGCUAGACAGAGGGGCCUCGAAGGCAAAGUCCAGAGACUGAGGCCUGAUCACAGCCAGAGUCUCAAGCUCAAGUGUCUUCUGUAGAGAUGCCUUGGCAGCUACCAACCAACCCACCUCCGUGGAGCUCCAGCUCUCCUCUGCCUUCACCACGGCCCCUCCAUACAGGCUCCCUUGCUGUCAUCUGAACAGGGGCCAGAAGCUGAAAGCAAGCUAAGGGCCCACUGAAGGAUGAACAGGUGAACCAAGUGCGAUCUACUCAUAUAGCUGAAUACGACUCAUCUUCCAAAAGAAGAACAUUCUGCCAGCUGUGGUGGACACCCAUAGAUACUCAGGUGGGACGCUCGAGCCCAGAGGUGCAAGAUGGGCCUGAGCAACAGAGUAAGCCCUGUGUGUGGGGGGAUGAACCCGGAGCCCACUGUGCCACGUAGAACUAGGCAGACACGAAGGGCAGCCACAGCAUGACUGCACCCCAGGAAGCCCCUGGAGCCCUCCCACUCCAACGGAGGAACACGGGGGAACCGAGCUUCCCUCUGGAAAGAAGUGCUGGGGAUGGGCGUGGCUACAGAGCAGCGGAACAUGCUGAACUGAACGCCCACACCGUUACCAGGACAAGCAUUGUUACCACAAUUAAAAAAGUGGUUAAAGAAGGCCAAUUUUAGGCGUUAUGUUCUGACCCACAAUGAAACGAACCUCCCACACGGAGACGGGG